rnacentral:lncRNA from 1 species
AACGAUUCAUAGAUCUAAAACGUUUUCACAACAAAAACGCACAUCUCAAUCUCCGAUCAACCAAAUCCACCGAAAGGAAAGGAUAAAAACAAUAAAAACCGAAGAGAGAGAAAAUAAACAAAUAAUAUACAAAGGAAUAACAGAUCGACAAAGAAUCAAAAGAAACUUACCUUAGAACGUAAAGAGAAGAAGAGGCUGGAGAAGGAUUGGUCUCAACUGUGCGUGAGGUGAGAGAGACUGUGAAAGAUUAAGGGGAGAGCAACGCUUUUAUAUUGAGCGACGUGAAAGGAUAAAAACAAUAAAAACCGGAAGAGAGAGAAAAUAAACAAAUAAUCUACAAAGGAAUAACAGAGAAUCAAUUAAGAUAGAAAUAGAGAUCGACAAAGAAUCGAAAGAAAGUUACCUUGGAACGUAAAGAGAAGAAGAGGCUGGAGAAGGAUUGGUCUCAACUAUGCGUGAGGUGAGAGAGAUUGUGAAACAUUAAGGGGAGAGCAACGCUUUUAUAUUGAGCGACGAGGUAGAGAGAGAAUAGGUUUUCUAGGGCAAACUCGGCCCCUUGAUUUUUUCUAUAUUUUUUCCUUAUUUUCUCAAACCG